ACUAAAAAUGAUAUGUGUCAUAUACCUUUGCCAUCUUGUAGUCAAGGUAGGUGUAACUGUCAAUAAUUAGUUACACUCACAGAUCUCAUAAUCAAAUAACAAUAUCAGAAAAAAGGAGAAUAGUUUGUUAGUUAGUGGAAGUAGCCAGAAUGGGCAAGUGGACCUCAGUUCCUAUUACAUAAGGUUCUAGGAAGUUUGCGAUAAUGAAAAUUUAUCACAAUGUCCAGCCACUUGAAAAUAGGUGUAGUGAUGACAAAGCUAUCCAAGUAGCUCCAGCGCAGGAACACAAAGGCAAGGCACAUCACCACUUAAUAUAUCUGAAGCAAGUACAAGUAAACAAUCAGAACCAGCAAAAAGAAAACUGUUGUUCCUGAGGACAAAUUUGACAGUGAUCAGUCAAAUGCAGAAGGAUCAGCUGUUGAGAGUUAUCUCUCUAUAUCUCCACUCCAUCAAAGACUUGUGCACUUCAUUUAUUGAAAUUAAUAUUAAUGAAUAUUAAUUUAAAUUAUCGUGCGAAUUUUGUGGUCAAAACAUUUAAGUGUAUUUUAUAAAUAAAUAUUCAUUCUCAGUA